CUUCCAGAGUCCGGGAGCUGUGUGGACCCCGGAUCCUCUGGCUAACCGUCCGGAUAACCAUCAGGACAGGUGAGAGUCUCUAGCUGAGCAGGGCGGCCGGUCGUCUGUUUGUGUUUCUGCCAUCUAUCAUUUGUUCUUAAAUCUGGCUGCAAGUCCAUCCUGAUGACAGAAGUGCUCGUCUUGAAUCACUUUUAAAGAAGCUCAGCCCCCGGGUUAGAUCACCUGAGCAGUUUCUGCCGUCCAGGGAUGCCACGGAACAGGAUUCUGCGGAUGCCCCUCUCGAUAAGAAAAUGCUUAUCUGAGAAGGUCAGGAUAGACGAAAGCCGAGCUUACAUCCUUGUAGACCAGAGCUCAGAAACACGGGUGCGCUCAGCCAGGCUCGAGAGCUUGGAUGUUUCUGUUGAGUGCGGUGCGUGUGCGCGCGAGCACGAAGACGAAAGCGAUCCAGAGACAAAGACAUCGCAUCAGAUACCGCUGUGGGUUGGCGCUGUGUGAACUCUGAGCGCGAGCUUUGGUGCGUAUUCCGUGUGUGGUUUUGUACGCAGUUUCUUUGCCGAGCUUGGUGCUUCUGAAUGGAGUUGUCUACGUAUGUGCUGGUGUGAGCCUCUUUGUAGUCUUCAUGAGGUACAGGUCCGCUAUGGCUGCUUUCCGUGGGUCCCUGUCCACAUCCCCAACUGGUUUCUCUCUCUUAACUCCUAAGCAGCAAACCUCGGGAUGGGACCAGCAGCAGUCCCAGCCUAGAUAAAGAGGAAGCAGCCUUUCACUGGACCUAAAAAAGCUGACAGAAAUGAAAACGACUCGCGCUCUUCUCCCCCUCUGGAGACUCUUUCUCACUGGGAACCCCAGUCUUUACCACCCCUGCGGUGUUUUUAGGUUAGCUCAGGUCAGUGCACAAGUAGGGCAGCCUGAGGGCUUUGACCGGCUAGUAGGAGCUGCCAGGACAAGACGGGCUACCCCUAGCCCCUCCCCCUUCAACUCAAGCACCUCACAGUCUCUGGAAAAGGUCUCUGUCCCAGGUAGGGGACAUCCAUACAACAGAGCGCUCCUCAUCCCUCCCCACGCACCCUUUUCUUCACAUGACCAGUGCAAAAACCCCACCUCAUGCCAAACCAUGACCAACAUCCUUCUUCCUAGCAUGGUGAAAUCUGGUCAUCCCCAGCCACUUGAUAGAAGCAAAGACAGUAAACACAGGCGCCUCAUCUUCCCAAAAGGCUGUGGACAGUAGAGACUCUCCAUCCCAGAGGUUCCUCCGGACAAAGGUUUCUAUUCCCUUCCCUGCUCCCCUUUCCUGGAGGAAUUCCUUUGCCACCUGACAUAUCUAUCAGAGAGACCUAGUUCCUUUGUAGUGACCUUUUGUGCCCCUCGGCACACACAUUAAGAUGGUCUUGGAUGCCUUCUUUGACAAGGAGAUCCCAAGUACUUAGCUUUUCUUAUAGGAACCCAGAUGGGAUGGCUGUAGGGUUCUCUCAUCAGUGAGAAAUGGGGCCGUUUAUGUGUUCCCCCCCCCCUUUUUUAAAUCUCCCUAACUGUGUGUGGCUAUUCUGUUGGAAUUACCAGAGCAAGUGUGGCCGCCACCUCUCCAAUUCUUGGCUCUGAGACCCAGUUCUGAGAGAUCACUUGAUUUAUUCUGUCUUCAGCCUUCAAAUAUCCUCUUUUCAUUCCUAAUUUUACAGAUAAGCAAGCCCACAACCGUGCAAUGAAGUGUCCUUUGCAAAGUCAUCUGGAACCAAAAGAUAGUCAGGUAUCCAGCAGAAGGCGUGGCCCGGGUUUAAGGGGUGUCUUUCUGCCUCAAGAUCAAAGGCGUGUAUCUUCUUGCCUCAAGAGUCUGAACUAGGAAUGGAUUUGCCCACUUCGUGCUGAGCAAAAAUAAUCUCUCCCAGCUGUGUCCUCCACUUCUGGAUUAUAAAUUACUCCACAGGUAGUCAGGCUGACAACCAAGAAUGGCCGUCACACGCUCUUUCAAUGAAGCUUUCACUGUCCCAGCAAGAUUGCCUGCCCCGCAAGUCUGGAACCCACCUGUCUCUGUUUGCCAGCACAGGGCCACCAGUGGGAGAGGCCACUCCCAGCUUUUUACAUGGGCGCUGAGAUGAGAACUUUGCUGACACUGACGCAGCAAACACUCUGCCCUCAUGGGAGGAUUUUCAUUGUUUGACGUCAGUGCAGGAGUUGGCCCUUAGCAUCCAAAGGAACUUAGAUGGAGGCUUUAUGUGAUGUCCCAGUUGAAUACAAUCUUGGGUAGGGAUGAGCGUUAGAGGCUAAUCUCAUCCUGGCCCUACACCCUUCGUGGGAUGCUUGCUCUCUGGGCAGAUCUAUAGUCAGCCUCAGGCCAUUUAUUUCCCCUUUUGAAUCCCUUGCUCACCUCCUCCACUCCCCAGGCCCUGAUGCCUUCCUAUUUUCUGUUUCUCAUUCACUUUAACUGACCUGCAGGAUGGGAUCAGAGACGCUCUUGCUCAGCCUAGCGCUUGCUUCCCUUGGCUUCGCAGUGCUGGGUGGGAGGAGUGAUGGGCUCUCCUCCUACACAGGGUAGGAAGUCACCACCCGGCUCAUGGCAAAGGCCCAGUGGGUGCCAGUUAUUGUUUAACAAGGCUCUGGGUUUGUGUUUAGUCCUGCAGCUCUUGCCAGCCAUAGAGUAAGUGCUUGGUAACCGUCUGUUGUCUGAAAUGUUGGAGGGGAUUCCACCUGGGUCCUGUUGUCUGUCAGACCUCUGAACCCAUUAUCCAUCAGUCCAGAGGGAGAUGAUCCUGCCCAGUGGUUAGAGAAGUGCGCCAUUCAUGGAGUGGCCCCUGUGCAUCCCUGCCUGCACCCUGGGCCUGAGUUUCUCAGAGCUCGGGGAGUGUUCUGUUCUCCCACUAUGGGUGUUUAUCUUAAAAUAGGAAACCAGUUGCUCAGGGUCUGCAGAGACCCCAUCCCCCCACCCCUGCUGCUGCAGACAGAAGCAGCUGACAGCCAGCCCAGUGACAAAGGAGCAAUCAGCAGUCAUUAGGGCUCAUUUAAGGACAGCUCAAGGAUGGCUUGAAAAUCCCAGCAUGCUCCUCACUCCAGAUGAAGAGGGUCUGAGUCCCUGGCCUCUUUCUCUUCAGCACCUACCAUGGGGGGAGGGCUGUGCCAGGCAAGCAGCCCAGGACGUUAUCACUGUCAGGCCUGUGUGCUGGUAUCCCUUACCACUGCAGGCUGCCUCUGAGGGCACAACGUCACUCAAAGCCAAGUUAGGUCCUCACCAUCGAGCCACCCUCACUUCAGGAGCAAAAUCGAUCCCCAUCCCCAGAGCACAGCAGAGACCAAAUCUAAUCUCCUAUGAGGAGAGGACCCAUUCCGACCCACACAGAACCUCAGUUUCCUUGCUUGUUCGUUGGACAUAGUUAGACCUUCCUCUCAUAGGGGCCAAGAGGAUUGAAGGAGACACAUGUCCACAGUGCUUACCUGUCAUAUGUGAGCAUACACAUUCCACAGGAUCACUGCUCAUUCUUUGGUCUCUACUUAGAGGCUGCCUUCAGCUUGCAUGUAAGUUCUCUUAGAGUCUUCAAGUUUCAAGCAUGUGUUCUACUCCUAAGUAUUGUGACACCCUCCGUGUGUUUCCCUGGAAUGUUGCACAUAUGUGUGGGUAUGGACCAGAAUCCAGGUGCUCAGUAUGAACCGUAUCAAAGAGAAGGCUCUCCACAGACCUGCGGAGAGCACACUGUGUCGACAGCCUGGCGAGGGCUAAAUGGGAUGAUGAAGUCAUUGGAAGCAGAGUUCCCAUUAGCCUGGACUCGGGGAGGCGGAAAUGAGUCCCUAAGUCACCCAGCUCUGUAUGUCAGCAAGACUUGCCCUCUUCUUCUCACCCUUGCUGGGACGUUUCUCUCUCUUUGGACCCCCUGUGUUUGUCUGGGGAGUCUUGCUGGACCAUCCAGCUCUCAGUGGUCUGUAGAACUGGAACCUGCCUUUCUCCAGCCACAGACCGGCACUCAGGGGAUGCAUGUGGGCGUAGGCUGUGUUCUUGUCCCAGCAUUUAUCACAGAUAGUUCUCGUGAGUUAAGGGUUUUCCCCAUCUGGUGUGCUGAGUGUCCCUUGUGUAUUAAUCACCUCCUUAGAGCCUCAGCUUCAGCCACUGACUCCAGCCCUAAGGACCAGUCUUGGAAGCAUCCCAAGGUUCCAGGGCACUGCGGGAAAGGCAGAGGCUUCAGGAGAGCCGGGACCAGGGCCUCUCUCUGCUUUUUCUUGGGCUACAAGGCUCUCAGACCAAGCUGCAACAGCUGGCUGAACUCCUUAAGGCAAAAAGACAGCCCCACCCCAGGGUAGUCACCUUUGAGGUAGGAGGUUCAGGAGCAGUUAGCGUUGAGUUUAAAAAUACCUUUCAAAGAUACCAGCACAGACCCACCCCAGCACCUGGUGCACUAUACACCAGUGUCACCCACUGUCACCCAGUGUCAGAGCAUCACCCCUGCAGGAGUGCUGGGAGUGUCUCCACAAGAUAUCAGGUCUGCCAUUGCAUCUCUAGGUGGGUACGGGUAGGGUGCAGCAAAGCAGGAGCAGGGUUUUGGCUUUUGCCACCCAGCCUCAGGCGUGUUCAGGUCUUUCCUCUGUUCCUUCCACCCUCCUUCCUAGGAUGGCCUCUGCCCUCUGCGUGGAGGUUUUUCUUGAUGUCUUGUUCUCUACCAGCCACCACCAGCUCUGCCCCUCAGCCACCAUGGGAGCACAUGCAGGACCACAGGCGACACACAACAGAGAUGUGUAGUUUAGGGAAAAUGACUUUGAAGGUCCCGAGGCUCCUCAGAAUCCAUCCAAUGUUCCUGGUCUAAGAUCAAUAGGUGAGGAGACCCCCAGGCCUAUAAUUAGCUUGGAUCCUUGAGGAGAGGAACAGGAAGAAGAUAUUCACUAAGCAUCCCCAGUCAGCAGGCAAGGGACACAAUCUCUUGUUAUGGCUUUUUCCAGACCAGAAAGUUCCUAUGUUUCCUCCUUUUCUAAAUUCACUUUUAUGUCAUAUGACUCAGAAGUGCAUGUGUCUACAUGUUCACGGUAUGAGAUGCAUGUGAUGAACCCUAACUUCUGCUUCGUCCACGACUGGCUUGAACUGCUUGUGGCCUUUGCCUGUGACACAGUGUGAGCCACACAGGCAGAUGUCCCAUUUUCCCCUCCAUUUGCGUAUUUAUUUACUCAUUGUUUAUACUUGGUUUGCUUUUUCCUAGAUUAAAACAAUUUUCUAAAAUUUUGUUUUGUGGGUAUACAUGUGCGUGCAUGGGUGCACACAGGCCAUGGCGCAGGGGUGGAGGUCAGAGGACUAACUUGUGGGAAUCAAGUUGUGUCCGGUUUGGCAGCAAAUGCCUUUAUCUGUUGAACUAUCUUGGCAGGCUCUUAAUGUCUUUAUUGGCAUAUAUUAAUUAUACGUAAUAAUGGGAUUCAUAAAGGUACUUGACCUACUUGUGCUCCACUGUUGACCUCUUUUGUCCCCUUUCCACUGAUAGUGACCCCCUUUGACACCGAUACCUUUUCAGAGUUUGGUUUUGUAACCUGAAGAGUUCCAUUACAUUCGCUCUCAGGGACGUGGGUGAGAGAAACUUUUCAUUGGUUGUUCCAGAAAACCUCCCUUUGCCCACAGCCAAUAGCUGCCGUAGCUCCUCGUGGAGGGGUGGAGCCUUAUGCUGAAUGACAGGAAGUUGAUGGGAAUAAUAUCAGGCUGGUUCUUUUAUUUAUUUAUUUUCUAUGAAAAACACAGAGCAUUCUCCACCCUCCGUGCAGGUUGGUUUUUUUAAAAAUUGCCUUUGGAGUUCUUUAAUUAAAAAUGUAGACAUUGGGGUGGGGGCGGCGCUGGAGAGACAGAUCAGAGGUUAGAGCAGCCGCUGUUUCUGCAGGGGACCUGGGCUUGGUUCUCAGCCCUGAAGAGUCCACAACAGUAUCCUCUUCCUGUCUCUGUGGACACCAGGCACGUGUACAAUGCACAUACACACAUAUAGGCAAAACAUGCGUACACACAAGAUCAAAAUAAUAAAUAUUUCAGAACAAAAAUUUCUAAACUGAAGAAAUUAUUCAGCAUUUUUAAGGAGCUGAGAGUGAACAGUGGUCUUUAUUUCUCCCUUCCCUUCCCUUCCCUCUUGUAAGCUUUUUUACUCUGUAGCCUCCAAAUAGCCUAUUUUUCUCCCUUUUGUCUUCCUUCCUCUCCCCCACUCUUAUUCUUCAUUCUCUGAUGCUCUACCUUGCCCUGGUCCCUGUGCUUGGUGCUGGGCUAUAAAAAUAAAUAUAUUCACCUUC
rnacentral:sRNA from 1 species